UUGGCCAUUGUUAAUAAUGCUUCAAUGGACAUAGGAGUGCAGACAUCCCCUUGUCAUACUGAUUUCAUAUCUUUUGCAUAUAUACUAAUAGUGGGAUUGCUGG